AGUCAGGCUGAGUCAGGCCGCCAUGUUAGUUUUCGUUGACAGUUCUGAACAUAAAUAAAUAGAAAUGUAAAAAUUGAAGAUUAAUAUAGAAGAAUCAAGUACCUAUGUUUGAUUAUAAUUAAAUGAAAAUUAUAAAUGUUUUUAAAAAAAGUUUUGUGAUUAUCAAUUGGAAACAUUAUUAUAUUCUUUACACCAGACGGUUAUAUCGUGUAACAAUUAGGGUUCAAACAGAAUGAAAGAAAAUAAAAGUAAAAUAUAAAAUUGCUUAAAUAGUGUAUAUUUUCUGGUUGAAAACCAGUGUGCUAGAAAUUAAUUAAAUUUCUAAAUGAAUUUCUAAAUGAAAAUGAGAUAUAUUUGAAGUAGAUUUCUAUAUUUCAUCUUUGGGUAAAAGUAAGGUAUUAUAUAAAUUAAAUUAAAAGAAUGGGAGAUAAUUUUUUAGGGAACGGGGGAUUGCUUCACCGAGCUUUAUUAUUUAUGCUAAAACUUGGAUGGAAAUCUCGCUUUCGAUUACCUAUAAUUAUCAUAAUUACUUUUAUAGUAAUGGAUAUAAGGAUGCAUUUGGAAAUGGAAAUAGAAUAUUGAUGUUCUUUUGUGAAGACGGGGAAGACACUUAUUAAAUGUGAGAAUAAUAUAAUUGUUGUAAAUCUUAGGAUGCUUAAGUUAAUGUUCUUAAUAAAUAAAGAAAUUAUUUUAAAUGUA